GAUCAAGAAUCCAAAGAAGAACGAGGAAAAGAAAAAGUUGCGGAAUAGUCCCAAAAUUUCAAUAUCUUCUACAAAUUAGCCGGAUUGACUUGAAGUGAAGUGGGUAGAUCGAAUCAACACAACAAAGCACACUACCCAGGUCAAUUCCGGUAGCUUUUGUUUUAUGUUUGAAGAUUUAUAUGGCAUGUAUAGAGUUUAAAUGAAGUGAAGUAAAGAUGUUAUAAACUAGUUAACAACAUUUUGUACUAAAA